GACGAACGCUGGCGGCGUGCUUAAUACAUGCAAGUCGAACGGAAAGGCCCUGCUUGCAGGGUACUCGAGUGGCGAACGGGUGAGUAACACGUGGGUGAACUGCCCUGCACUUCGGGAUAAGCCUGGGAAACUGGGUCUAAUACCGGAUAGGAGCCACUGUUAGAGAGAUGGUCGGAAGGUAAUUCCGGUGUAGGAUGAGUUCGCGGUCUAUCAGCUUGUUGGUGGGGUAAUGGCCUACCAAGCCGGCGACGUGUAGCCGGCCUGAGAGGGUGGGCAGCCACAUUGGGGCUGAGAUACGGCCGAGACGCCGACGGGAGGAAGCAGUGGCGAAGAUUGCACAAUGGGCGCAAGCCUGAUGCAGCGGCGCCGCGUGGGUGAUGACUGCCUUCGGGUUGUAAGCUCGAUUCACUAGCGACGAAGCGGUUUGUGACGGUACCUAAAUAGGAAGCACCGGCUAACUACGUG
rnacentral:rRNA from 1 species